rnacentral:misc_RNA from 1 species
AAAGUCGUAACAAGGUUUCCGUAGGUGAACCUGCGGAAGGAUCAUUAAUGAAACUUCAAAGUCGGCUCUGUUCUGUGCUGGUGGCAACACAUGUGCACGUCAGAGUCGCAAAUCCACACACCUGUGCAUCUUUGACUCGAGGUCUGGAAAAUGACCAAGAGUACUUUUACACACUCUGAAUGUAAUGGAAUGUCUAUGUGCAAUAAUGUACAAAUAAACAACUUUCAACAACGGAUCUCUUGGCUCUC